ensembl:snoRNA LOC120098703 small nucleolar RNA SNORA17
UCUGCCUGCACUGGCUUCUGUGUCACACAUGUAUUGGUACUUGGCAGAGAGGGGAGAACCUAUGUUUCACUGUUCUGACCUGUGGACAUCUGAACGAUUCAUAGCCUAACACU